rnacentral:sRNA from 1 species
GCAGAAGGAAGUCUUGUUUAUGUACAGAACAGGUACAGUGCAGGCAGCAAUUGUGCAAGCUUCCCCAUAUCACUCUGCCAAUGCAUCUCACUGCUGAUUUGGAGGAUCAGCUGUAAAGAUGUGUUGGUAUGUCCCACUCAUUCUUAGCCUGU